AUUGAACGCUGGCGGCGUGCCUAAUACAUGCAAGUAGGACGCAGUUGCGAACGGGUGAGUAACGCGUAGGUAACUACCUAUUAGAGGGGGAUAACUAUUGGAAACGAUAGCUAAUACCGCAUACUAGUAGAUGGACCUGCGUUGUAUUAGCUAGUAGGUAGGGUAAUGGACUACCUAGGCAACGAUACAUAGGCGACCUGAGAGGGGGGUCGGCCAAACUGGGACUGGGACACGGCCCAGACUCCUACGGGAAGCAGCAGGAGGGAAUCUUCGGCAAUGGGGGGAACCCUGAACGAGCAACGCAGGGUGAGUGAAGAAGGUUUUAGGAUCGUAAAGCUCUGUUGUUAAGGAAGCGGUACUUAACCAGAAAGGGACGGCUAACUACGUGCCAGCAGCCGCGGUAAUUC
rnacentral:rRNA from 1 species